AAUAUCUAAUCUUCAUCAGCCUCUUUAUCAGAUUAAACAAAAAAACAUUAACCAACAAAAACAAAUUGAAGUUGUUAAAUCAUAUUAGAAAGAAGAACUCAGUCCCUUAGAUGUUCAUAAUAAUGCGAUCAUUACCGCAAUCAUUACAGGUCUGUAAACUGACUCAUCACUGUUCUUCCAAAAACUUAUACAAAAACCCAAAUCUAGAUUUCAAUACGAAUAAUAUAUAGCUGCUCAGUUGUGAUUCUCCCAAAUCAACAUCAGCAAAAAUCGUAUAAAUACGAAAUCACCGAAGAUUCAUAGGGAGAAUUAUAUAAAUAACGAAAGCAACACGAUUGAUUUUGCUUCAAGGGAACGAAUCAUAUGGGAACGAACAAAUCCACAUAGACUAUCUGAUGAAGCCAAUCUUUCAAUAAACAUAAAUCAUGAUAAUCCUAGACAAAAGGCAAGCCCAAUAACAACAAUAGAGAGAACACCAAACCC